ACCCCGGCCCUUUUCAGGGCCACCCACUCCAACUAAAGAGCUAUAU
rfam:Branchiostoma floridae genomic scaffold BRAFLscaffold_262, whole genome shotgun sequence.